rnacentral:lncRNA from 10 species
GCGAGCAGGCGCGUGUGACGUCGGGAGGCGCCGCGGCUCCUCGGCCGCCCCACUCGGUGGUCCCCUGUCUGGAUCCAAACUGCUGACUGGCUGACCCGAGUGGUCACAUUUGCCCUCUGGGGCUUUUGAAAACCUUAAAUCAAAAUUGCUUUUGAAUCUGACAACUCCUGAGGCUACUUUCGCGGCCUCGGGGCUGUUUCAUAUAAGGACGCGAGUUUUCCUGAUCAGGUCUGUCGGCCACGUUACGAUUUCCAAUUUGCGAUCCAUCAGUUACUUCCAUUGGGUCUUCAGCCCCCAGGGACUGUGGAUCCUAGACCCCGCGGAGAAGCCCGUGGACUGGAGCUGUGUCAGCUCUGAUGGAACAAAAACGGAGGCACAGAGAGGUCAAUUGAUUGGUCUAAUGACACAGAUCUAGCAAGUGGUGGAACCAGGACUGAAUCCAGGUAACUUGCUCCUGAUGUUUGUCCAUUGGUGCUCUCAUACUUUUUUCCCUCUCUCUUCCUGUUAGAAUGUGCUUCCAGGAC